CUAGCUAUGUAAUAUUACUUAGUUUUAUAACUAAAAUAGUUUGGCAGUGAGUUAUUCCUAUCAGGGGAAGGUGUGUUAUAAAGGACGAUCCGCCCAUUAAUUUACCUUAACUAUGUUGGUGUAUAUCUGGUUUAAUAUUAUUGCUUAGUUGCGUGCAUUUGCGUAUAAUUUUUAGCUAAGUCUAUGUGCUGCAUGUUAAGGUUUUCAUGCGUUACCCUUAUAAUGAUUGCCGUGUAAUAGGUUAUUAUUUAGGAAUUGAUAGUAAUUCUAAAUAAAUUUGGUAGUGUGAAUGAGGAAUAUCACAGAGCAUAG
rnacentral:rRNA from 1 species